AGCAGUCGCCGCGGUAAUACGGAGGGUGCAAGCGUUAAUCGGAAUUACUGGGCGUAAAGCGCACGCAGGCGGUCUGACAAGUCAGAUGUGAAAUCCCCGGGCUUAACCUGGGAACUGCAUUUGAAACUGUCAGGCUGGAGUCUUGUAGAGGGGGGUGGAAUUCCAGGUGUAGCGGUGAAAUGCGUAGAGAUCUGGAGGAAUACCGGUGGCGAAGGCGGCCCCCUGGACAAAGACUGACGCUCAGGUGCGAAAGCGUGGGGAGCAAACAGGAUUAGAUACCCGAGUAGUCCCUGUCUCUUAUAA
rnacentral:rRNA from 1 species